UACAGAGGGGGCAAGCGUUAUUCGGAAUUAUUGGGCGUAAAGGGCGCGUAGGCGGCUUUGCAAGUGACGGGUGAAAUCCCUCGGCUUAACCGAGGAACUGCCUGUCAAACUGCAUGGCUUGAGACCGGGAGAGGUGAGUGGAAUUCCCAGUGUAGCGGUGAAAUGCGUAGAUAUCAGGAGGAACACCGGUGGUGUAGACGGCUCACUGGACCGUAACUGACGCUGAGACACGAAAGCGUGGGUAGCAAACAGG
rnacentral:rRNA from 1 species